GACGAACGCUGGCGGCGUGCUUAACACAUGCAAGUCGAACGGAAAGACCCUGCUUUUGUGGGGUGCUCGAGUGGCGAACGGGUGAGUAACACGUGAGUAACCUGCCCUUGACUUUGGGAUAACUUCAGGAAACUGGGGCUAAUACCGGAUAGGAGCUCCUGCUGCAUGGUGGGGGUUGGAAAGUUUCGGCGGUUGGGGAUGGACUCGCGGCUUAUCAGCUUGUUGGUGGGGUAGUGGCUUACCAAGGCUUUGACGGGUAGCCGGCCUGAGAGGGUGAACGGGCACAUUGGGACUGAGAUACGGACCAGACUCCUACGGGAGGCAGCAGUGGGGAAUAUUGCACAAUGGGCGGAAGCCUGAUGCAGCAACGCCGCGUGCGGGAUGACGGCCUUCGGGUUGUAAACCGCUUUCGCCUGUGACGAAGCGUGAGUGACGGUAAUGGGUAAAGAAGCACCGGCUAACUACGUG
rnacentral:rRNA from 1 species